rnacentral:rRNA from 1 species
UUUCCGGUUGAUCCUGCCGGACCUGACUGCUAUCGGAUUGAUACUAAGCCAUGCGAGUCAUUGUAGCAAUACAAGGCAUACGGCUCAGUAACGCGUAGUCAACCUACCCUAUGGACGGGAAUAACCUCGGGAAACUGAGUAUAAUGCCCGAUAGAACAUUAUGCCUGGAAGGGUUUAUGUUCCAAAUGAUUUAUCGCCGUAUGAUGGGACUGCGGCCUAUCAGUUUGUUGGUGAGGUAAUGGCCCACCAAGACUAUUACAGGUACGGGCUCUGAGAGGAGUAGCCCGGAGAUGGGUACUGAGACACGGACCCAGGCCCUAUGGGGCGCAGCAGGCGAGAAAACUUUGCAAUGUGCGAAAGCACGACAAGGUUAAUCCGAGUGGUUUCUGCUAAAGGAACCUUUUGUUAGUCCUAAAAACACUAACGAAUAAGGGGUGGGCAAGUUCUGGUGUCAGCCGCCGCGGUAAAACCAGCACCUCAAGUGGUCAGGAUGAUUAUUGGGCCUAAAGCAUCCGUAGCCUGCUCUGUAAGUUUUCGGUUAAAUCUGUAUGCUCAACAUACAGGCCGCCGGGAAUACUGCAGAGCUAGGGAGUGGGAGAGGUAGACGGUACUCGGGAGGAAGUGGUAAAAUGCUUUGAUCUCUCGAUGACCACCUGUGGCGAAGGCGGUCUACCAGAACACGUCCGACGGUGAGGGAUGAAAGCUGGGGGAGCAAACCGGAUUAGAUACCCGGGUAGUCCCAGCCGUAAACUAUGCAAACUCAGUGAUGCAUUGGCUUUUGGCCAAUGCAGUGUUGCAGGGAAGCCGUUAAGUUUGCCGCCUGGGGAGUACGUACGCAAGUAUGAAACUUAAAGGAAUUGGCGGGGGAGCACCACAAGGGGUGAAGCCUGCGGUUCAAUUGGAUUCAACGCCGGAA